CACAAGAAAAACUGUUUUGUUCAGAGUAAGAAACUGAUGGAAGCUUUGAAUAAUUUUGGUCAAAAACGGCAGAUAAAUCCUGGGGAUGGGGGAUGAAGCUUUCUAUGUUUACAGAUGUAUACCAUUGUGAAUUUAUAAUUUCAUUGCUAUCACAAUUUAUAGAUUAAUAUAAAAAAUUUUGAUGCUAUGAGAUGGUCUCAUCAAUGUGCAACAAUUGAACUGGAUUUCCAACUUCCUGAGAGAUUCAACCUCACGCUAGGAUUUUAUGGCUUUCUCCCCAUCAAGUUGUAGUAAUUCCUGUCAGUAGUAAAUAUGAUGAUUAUGCCGAACCGGUAAAUUU